rnacentral:rRNA from 1 species
GAGUUUGAUCAUGGCUCAGAUUGAACGCUGGCGGAAUGCUUUACACAUGCAAGUCGAACGGCAGCACGGGGGCAACCCUGGUGGCGAGUGGCGAACGGGUGAGUAAUACAUCGGAACGUGCCCAGUCGUGGGGGAUAACGUAGCGAAAGCUACGCUAAUACCGCAUACGAUCUCUGGAUGAAAGCGGGGGACCGCAAGGCCUCGCGCGAUUGGAGCGGCCGAUGGCAGAUUAGGUAGUUGGUGGGGUAAAGGCUCACCAAGCCGACGAUCUGUAGCUGGUCUGAGAGGACGACCAGCCACACUGGGACUGAGACACGGCCCAGACUCCUACGGGAGGCAGCAGUGGGGAAUUUUGGACAAUGGGCGCAAGCCUGAUCCAGCCAUUCCGCGUGCAGGAUGAAGGCCCUCGGGUUGUAAACUG